rnacentral:lncRNA from 1 species
AAUUUUUUAUAAGGGCAAUUAUUUAUAUACCCCUGAAAAGUUUCCGACUUUUCAAUUUACCCCUCUUAAAAAGCUAAUAUUGAAAAUAUCCCUCCUACGUUUCAACUUAUUUCUAAUAUACCCUUCGAGUUAAAAUUUAUUAACUCUGUUAUCUAUGUAAAAUUACUAUUUUACCCUUUCAAAUAUAUUCUUCCACCAUCACUGUCUUUCUGAUUGGCCCUUAAAGUCAAGGGCAUAAAAAGUGUUUUGACUUUUGGUCUUUUCCGAUAUAUCCCUCUACCGUAACCAACCUUUCUUAUUUGCACUUAAGUUAAGGGCAAAAUUGGCAUUUUAAUUUUUUUUUACUGUAGUAGAUAUUUAACUCAUGUUUAACCCAAGUUAACUUAAAAGGAGAUAACUGCAGGAGUAUUUUGUAAUAACGGUGGAACAUAUGAGGGGUAUUUUAGAAAGAAAAAAAGUAGGGAUAAAUCGGAUAUUUCCAAACGUAUGAGGGGUAUAUAGGCAAUUAUCCCUUUUUUUAUACUACUCAUUUGUUU